GUUGAAGGCUGGGGUGGGGGGCGGAGGGAGCAAAUCAGGUGAAUGCUGCGUGGUCAGGCCUGCUGAAGGCCCCCUGGCACAGCCACCCGUUUCCCUGGAUCACGCCAUCUUCUGCAUUGUACCCAGGAUUGUGCUGUGAUGACGCCCGGGGACAGGGAUGCAAGGCCUAUUUUCUGGCCCCUUGUCAUGUGCAGUGCAGUGUCUAAGAUGGCAGUGUGGGAUUGCAGAGAGGGCCCUGAUGGAAGUGAAUCUAAACAUCUGGGCUCCAGCCACGCUCUGACAGCCGUGAGUUUGGGCAACCCGUCAGCUCUACCUUCACCAAAUAUGCAGAAUUGGACACUUUCCACCGUCUUCACUUCCACUGUCCUGGUUCAAACCAUCAUGGCCUCUCACCAGGUCCAGUUGUUGAGGACAUCACUUCACUGGCCCAUGUU